AUUGAACGCUGGCGGCAUGCUUUACACAUGCAAGUCGAACGGUAACAGGCCGCAAGGUGCUGACGAGUGGCGAACGGGUGAGUAAUGCAUCGGAACGUGCCCAGUCGUGGGGGAUAACUGCUCGAAAGAGCAGCUAAUACCGCAUACGAUCUAUGGAUGAAAGCGGGGGACCGUAAGGCCUCGCGCGAUUGGAUCGGCCGAUGUCAGAUUAGGUAGUUGGUGGGGUAAAGGCUCACCAAGCCAACGAUCUGUAGCUGGUCUGAGAGGACGACCAGCCACACUGGGACUGAGACACGGCCCAGACUCCUACGGGAGGCAGCAGUGGGGAAUUUUGGACAAUGGGGGCAACCCUGAUCCAGCAAUGCCGCGUGCAGGAAGAAGGCCUUCGGGUCGUAAACUGCUUUUGUACGGAACGAAACGGUCUGGGUUAAUACCCUGGGCUAAUGACGGUACCGUAAGAAUAAGCACCGGCUAACUACGUGCCAGCCGCCGCAGUAAGAC
rnacentral:rRNA from 1 species